GAGUUUGAUUCUGGCUCAGAGUGAACGCUGGCGGCGUGCCUAAUACAUGCAAGUCGAACGGAGAUUAAAGUAAGCUUGCUUAUUUUAAUCUUAGUGGCGCACGGGUGAGUAAUGUAUAGCUAAUCUGCCCUACACUAGAGGACAACAGUUGGAAACGACUGCUAAUACUCUAUACUCCUUCUUUACAUAAGUUAAGUCGGGAAAGUUUUUCGGUGUAGGAUGAGGCUAUAUCGUAUCAGCUAGUUGGUGAGGUAAUGGCUCACCAAGGCUAUGACGCGUAACUGGUCUGAGAGGAUGAUCAGUCACACUGGAACUGAGACACGGUCCAGACUCCUACGGGAGGCAGCAGUAGGGAAUAUUGCUCAAUGGGGGAAACCCUGAAGCAGCAACGCCGCGUGGAGGAUGACACUUUUCGGAGCGUAAACUCCUUUUCUUGGGAAAGAAUU
rnacentral:rRNA from 1 species